AGCGCUAAACACUCCCUACGACAGAGGCACAACUAUCUGCAAACUCGGCAGCACAAAAGAAAUACAAGAUUAUUAUAAGAAGCAUUCGGAGCUAAUUUCGGAACGCACCCGCGACGUUGAAUGGGAAUUGCGAUUGCGCAUCAUAAGUCAGCUGUACGGCGCGGCGUGUGUAGUAAGUGUACUAAGUGGCAUAAAAAUAGAGUACAAUUGAGAUUGCGUUUCUGCGGCAAAAGUGAUACAAAGCGCCAAUCAAAUCGAACCCGAUUGAACCCAAGGAUUUGUAACUAAACAAAUUUUUCAAACUAUUUGAACCCCGAUUGUUAAGCGUCAAUCAGAUUGUUUCCCUUAUUGCUUAUGACCGCCAUUCUGUCACUUGUGGAAUUAUUAUUUGUCGCGUUUUGGUGGACACUUAUCUAGUUGAAAACCCACAUAAGAUACUUCUCCCUACCCCAUACCUCUACCCUCCAUGGUUAGCUGUAAGCAGAUGUUGAUUGCGUUUUGGCGGGAAACUACAACAAAAAGCAGUAAAAUACCAUGAGAACGCCAUGAGUGCACAAUAUUUGGAUUUCAUAACCGACUAAAGGGCCACACACUCUCGAAAUAAUCGCUCGAUCACUGAAUUGAAUGAUUCACAAUGCACUCAGAAGCCGAUUCAACCAUCGAAGUGAAAAUGGAAAUUCAGAACGAACUGAUUAAGAUCAACUCCGUUGUUUCAAAAAUAAAACAGGAGCUCCACGAGAUUAAUGAUAUUGUGCAAAGCAAUGGAUUAUUGGAUACGGCCCUCAAGAAUGCUGUCAGCUCUUUGACGGUUUUGGCACAAGAAGCAGGUGUUAAUAUAGAAGAAGCAACGAAUACAGGGGAGCAAAAUCCACUUACAAAUGUACUUUCUAGAAUCUCAACAGGGUAUAUAACCGAAAAACUUAAGUCAUUAUCCCAUUAACAAUUUUGGUCACGUUCUAUAAAAGACAGGGUAAGUCAUACAGUGCAGUCAAUUAUUCUGUCAAUAAAUAGCUAAUGGGAUCACCAAUCGAUCGCAUCUAGAAUAUACUUUUCUCAUUCCAGCUAAGAUUUAGAUUACAGAUAAUCAUUGAUGUACCUACUAAUUGUCCUUGAAAUAUCCUUGUGAAAUCACUAAGGAUCUUAUGAAAAGUUAACUCUUGUUAUCAACAUUCGUCCCAAAAUGUUAUUUAUGUAUUGUUGCCAAACAAGGACUAGGAUAGUCUUAUGUGUAUCUCGUCUUUAGCGACGACUAAACAAUACGAUCCUGAAUUGUGAAUCGUUAAACCACGAUUUCUUAAAGCUUGCAUUGUUAAAUAUUGUAAAGUUUUUUUUAUCCCUGGUCGUGUGGCUUCUAUACUACAUUAUUAUAAGAAUCCAGAGUACCCAAAUUAACACUUACAAAAGUAUUGUUGCUGCUCUACACUAUUAAUUCAUCCUUGUGUACAAGUUGAAGUCAUAACCAUUCAUGGUCGAGAUAAUAUUACAGUGGGGCAAAAGCAUUUGCGAUUAUAAAUGCUUUAGUUAAUCACAUUGGGUAGCAAAUAAGACAUCAGAACAAACUUUUUCUCUGAUUCUUAUUACCUCUCUACCCGUGUUGUACAUUUUUGCUAAUGAUUAUAGUAUAACUUAUCUUUAUUCCAUAAAAAACCUUGUAUAAAAUUCUUAAUUUAAUAUUUAUAAUUUUGACUCUGUUAGCCAAUUGAAGCUUUGUGUUUUACGAUCAGCUAAAGGGUCGAUCAUAGUGUUGAUUAUACUUGGUGAAUCAGUUUCCUAAAAAAAUAAAUCAGUUUACAUACAUGUACUGCUGAAUUCAAUUUCUAUUGUAGUAUUACUUCAUGUAUUUAAUUAUUCGUUACGUGAAAUAAAUAUUUUCUCAUUUGAA
rnacentral:lncRNA from 1 species